GAUUCCCUUUCCAGGGCACAGAGUGUUGCCUGAGAACUCCUCAACACAGGGUCCUCCUGCAACGAGCACGCCAAGAGCCGCUCUGGACGCUGACGCUGUGCGUGCACCAGGGCAACCUCCCCCUGACCACGCUGUGACGUGGCAGCCCUCCGCUGACAUCACAAUAGCAGCCGCUCUAGGUGGGUCUGUGAAUUUAUGCAUAGUAACAGAACCUUCUCUGCAGCUAAUGCAAAAGAAAGCCCAGAAAGUUCUCGUCUGUCCCAAAGCAGCACAAACCCUCCUUGCAGUCCAGAACCCAUAGCUCAAAGGAUCCAAGAGUAACACUAAACAGGCCCCAAGCACAUGCACCCUCUCCUUUGGCCACCAGUGCUUCUGACUAAAACAAGUAACACUUGCUUCAUUUCUAUGGGUGCAAUCACGCUUUGGUAAUAUCCCGGAGAGUCCCCUUAAUUGAAAUGCUUGUCAUGCCUGCCCAUUUACUGCAUGGCUAACAUCGACCAGCACACUGUAGGCUCGCUGAAGGAACAAGGAUACCAUAGUGGGGAAACAGUGCCAAGUAACAAACUAGCCAGAGGUGUUUGCAUGACACUGGAGCAGCAUUUGUGUUGUCAGUAUGGCAGGGACAGUAUGGCAGUGCCCAUGUCCUGUGCGUGGCAGGGGAUGCCCUUGGAGCAGCCCUCACAGUGUGGGUGCACCCACGGGUGCAUUUCCACUCCCACCGGCUCCCAGGUCAGCCCUUCACUUGACAAAGAGCUCUGUCCAGCACGGAGCUUUGCAAAAAGCCACUGCCUUUGGCUUGUGGGAAACCUGCGAGGUCAGAUUCCUCCAUGGAUGUGGCUUGGAAAUCUCUCUCCUGCCUGUUAUAAAUCACGCAAUUCUCUGGUUGGUUAAGAAAGUAAAAGUUCUAAUGAU